rnacentral:rRNA from 1 species
AAUCAACGCUGGCGGCGUGCCUAACACAUGCAAGUCGCACGAGAAAGGGACUUCGGUCCUGAGUACAGUGGCGCACGGGUGAGUAACACGUGAAUCAUCUACCUUCGAGUGGGGAAUAACUGAGAGAAAUCUUAGCUAAUACCGCAUAAUACCUACGGGUCAAAGCAGCAAUGCGCUUGAAGAGGAGUUCGCGGCAGAUUAGUUAGUUGGCAGGGUAGUGGCCUACCAAGACGAUGAUCUGUAUCCGGCCUGAGAGGGCGCACGGACACACUGGAACUGAAACACGGUCCAGACUCCGUACGGGAGGCAGCAGGUGGGGAAUUUUGCGCAAGUGGGGGAAACCCUGACGCAGCAACGCCGCGU